CAGCAGUCGCCGCGGUAAUACAGAGGGUGCAAGCGUUAAUCGGAAUUACUGGGCGUAAAGCGCGCGUAGGUGGUUUGUUAAGUUGGAUGUGAAAGCCCCGGGCUCAACCUAGGAACUGCAUCCAAAACUGGCAAGCUAGAGUACGGUAGAGGGUGGUGGAAUUUCCUGUGUAGCGGUGAAAUGCGUAGAUAUAGGAAGGAACACCAGUGGCGAAGGCGACCACCUGGACUGAUACUGACACUGAGGUGCGAAAGCGUGGGGAGCAAACAGGAUUAGAUACCCCGGUAGUCCCUGUCUCUUAUAC
rnacentral:rRNA from 1 species